UUAGAAGAAACCCUGGUGCCGAGGCGCCGGGAUAGCUCAGUAGGUAGAGAGGGCGCCCAUGUAUAGAUGUUUACUCCUUGACGCAACGCACCUGGGUUCGACUACGACCUGCGGCCCUUUGCUGCAUGUCAUUCCCCCUCUCUCUUCCCUUUAAUGUCUUCAGCUAUCCUGUCAAAGUAAAAGCCUAAAAUGUCUGAAAAAAUAAUCUUAAAAA